rnacentral:rRNA from 1 species
UACAGAGGUCCCAAGCGUUGUUCGGAUUCACUGGGCGUAAAGGGUGCGUAGGUGGUCGGGUAAGUUUAAGGUGAAAGCUCCGGGCUCAACCCGGAAAUGGCCUUGAAUACUAUCCGGCUCGAGGGUUGGAGGGGGGACUGGAAUUCUCGGUGUAGCAGUGAAAUGCGUAGAGAUCGGGAGGAACACCAGUGGCGAAGGCGGCCAUCUGGAUCAACACUGACGCUGAGGCACGAAAGCGUGGGGAGCAAACAGG